rnacentral:tRNA from 1 species
AGAGUUGUGGCUCAAUGGUAAAGCACUUGCCUAGCAUGCAAAAGACACUGGAUUCGAUCCCCAGCACUA